rnacentral:rRNA from 1 species
AUUGAACGCUGGCGGCAUGCCUUACACAUGCAAGUCGAACGGCAGCACGGGGGGUAACCCCUGGUGGCGAGUGGCGAACGGGUGAGUAAUAUAUCGGAACGUGUCCUGUAGCGGGGGAUAACCUAUCGAAAGAUGGACUAAUACCGCAUACGACCUACGGGUGAAAGCGGAGGACCGCAAGGCUUCGCACUAUAGGAGCGGCCGAUAUCGGAUUAGCUAGUUGGCGGGGUAACGGCCCACCAAGGCGACGAUCCGUAGCUGGUCUGAGAGGACGAUCAGCCACACUGGAACUGAGACACGGUCCAGACUCCUACGGGAGGCAGCAGUGGGGAAUUUUGGACAAUGGGCGCAAGCCUGAUCCAGCCAUGCCGCGUGAGUGAAGAAGGCCUUCGGGUUGUAAAGCUCUUUCGGCCGGGACGAAACGGUUCGUGCUAAUACCACGGACUACUGACGGUACCCGCAGAAGAAGCACCGGCUAACUACGUG